CCACACGACUCUCGGCAACGGAUAUCUCGGCUCUCGCAUCGAUGAAGAACGUAGCAAAAUGCGAUACCUGGUGUGAAUUGCAGAAUCCCGCGAACCAUCGAGUUUUUGAACGCAAGUUGCGCCCGAGGCCUUCUGGCCGAGGGCACGUCUGCCUGGGCGUCAUGC
rnacentral:rRNA from 1 species